GUAUGAUGAAGAACAAUUGACAAAAAUUAACCCAGCCAAAGCGUUGGGGUUUUCGCGAGCCGCUGGGGCAUAAAUCAGCAUCGCGGGCGGCUUCGGGAAGCAGCGCGCUCGGAGCGGUGCGCCGCAGCACGCCGCAGCGACUUCCAGCAGCCGCUGGGCUCGCCUGGCCGGAGUGAGUGCGCUUGGCCGCGGGGAUCCGAGUGGGGACAGGACUCGGUCCCGGGUUCAGAGUCAUCCCAGAAGGGACACACUGGCGGAGAAAGGCAUGACUACGCCUCAGCGACCCCCCUAAUUCACCAGUGUGGGGUGUGUGUGUGUGUGUGUGUGUGUGUGUGUGUGUGUGUGUGUGUAAAAUCAAAGAGGACUAAGGGAGGCAAACUUGGCAUGGGGUGUGUGUGUCGGGGGGAGGGGUGAUGAUCAGGGAGUAACAACCUCGACUGUGUCUGGAUCCCGGAGGAGUUUCUCUGCUCAAGUCACUUGAAAGGCAUAUUCGUCUUAGCUUAACAAUUCAACUCUUUUUACGGGAAAUCAAGGGUGGCUCCCUGGGAAGCUCUCCGCCGCGGCGCCGUAGUUGCUCUACUUGCUCGGAGUGUCCGGAGCCCGCCUGCGCAUUCACUUCCCAGUGCACACGCCCUAUUCCGGAACCCCACUCCCGCCCAGCCCGCGCCCUCCUCCUCGGAGCGAGGUGGCAGGCCACGGCGCCCCGGGACCUGCUGGUCAGGCAAGGCAAGGGGCGCCCAGACCAGGCGCCGCCAGCCCUCGCCACCUGUUGGAACGGUGAAGCCAGACCUCGCGCUGCGGGUGGCGGCGACGCCGGGCUACGGGCCGAUUCGCGCUCAGCGGCCAAAGUGAAUUCGGGCCGCGGAGCCGCGGGUUUCUGUUGUAAGUGCAAAGAACAACCCUCUCGGUGCUAAGUGCACAGUAGUGCGAACAAUAAAUAGAUCAUUUCUUGGGGCGUCUGCCCUGAAAAGGCCCCCGCUGUUCAGUGGCCGCUGGGAGUUAUUGAUUACUGUGGGCGACCGCGGCCCCCCUGCACCUCCCCUUGCUAGCGAGAAGGGUGCGCGGCCUCGGCCACCGCCUGGCGCGGCGUCUGGCUCCUGCGAGCGAACGAAUAAUAAAGAUCAUCAAAUCCCUCAAAAACCUCCCCGGACCGUUAAAGCCGCACCACCGUACCGGGGCAGCCUUGGAGGCGAGGAGGACCCCCAGGGUUAACGAAUGUGGCCUGUGUGCGUGUGCGCGCGCCCCUGAGCGCGCGUAUGUGGAUUCUUCUCAGGCUAUCAAUCUGGGUUACCGCAGUAGAGCCGAGGAGGGAAUGGAGUGGGGGAGAGAAGGCUAUUCUUGUCUAAUAUUUGAAUUAAGAAUUCUGUUUAAAAACUCGGCUACAGAGCAAAGAGAGUGAAAAACCUAAAACCCCCCACCUUCCGCGGGGAGCUUUAAUUCUGGGGCAGCGCAGGCCACGCUUUUCUGCGGCAGCGCCCGGGAGUUGGGCGCCCACCGCACUCGCUGGUGAGGUCCUGCAGCCGCGUCCGGGAGAGCCUGGGCCUCUUUGUGGCUCGGAGGCUCUGCGACGCACGCCCCUUCUCGCGCUCCGCCCCGCGGUCCCCGGCCCUCGCCGACCUCCGCAGCCGCGCCGCCCACCGCUUCCUGACCGCCGGGUGUAAACCCGAAUCCACCCCGACCUCAGGCCUCGGCCUGCGCCCUGGCCGGUGGUCCGCCCCUCCAGAGCGCUCAGGGACGGGCAGAGGGGUGGCGGCAGACCGAGCUGCGCUCCCGACGCGAUGCCGCACGUAUUUGUUUCGUGACCUUGACCAUGUCCCAGCCUUAACCUCCUCAAUGUUACAACUGGGAUAAUAAUCCUUGCGGGGCUCGCCCGCUGGGUGGUGGGGUAAUAUAUUCCGGUGGGGAGGGAGGGGGAUUGGCAGAGAGACUGUCAACUAUCCCGCUGUGUGCCUGUUUUCAGCCCGCCCAGAAUUUUGAAGUAAUUCAGGCCCUGGCCUGCGACCUCCUCCAGGGAGGGGCUCGUGGGCGUUUAGGCUCCGCGGAGCCGGCCAUACUUCGGGCGGGUGGGCGCAGCCGGAGCGCCGGGUGGGGGCACAGGGCGCCCUCGGCAGCGUCGGCCGCACUGCCCCCGGCCCGAGGCGGAGCAGCCUCGUCCAGCCUGUCCGGCAGGCUCGGGCUCGGCCCCGGCCCCGCGCCCUGUACUCGGCUCCGAGCUGACCACCGCCCCCCCAACCUCGUCGCCGCGGGCAGUAGCCGUGGACUCCGCAGCCCCAGGGGGGAGCUUGAGCUGGGCGCCGGCCGACGCAACUUAGGCUGAAACGGAAGUCGUGUAGGUUGUCCUGAUCUGCGGGCGAGAUGAAGGCGACCCCGAGUCGCGCAGGAGAACCAGCCUCAGAGAAGGCAUUGGCUUCUGACUCCGUCAGACCUACAUGGGGAGGCUCUAAAGGAAGAAGUCUCCCAACCCUUCACAAAAAUAUAAAACCAUCUGGAAAAGGAAGCAUCUACUGGAUGGAAGGAGACUAUUGCAAAUGAAAGAUUUGCUAGCAAUAGAAUUCAAAGGACUAAAGAAUCUGUGUGAUGCUACAGAUGAAAGCUCUAUCCAGGAACUGAUGCAGAGGAGUAUGGCAACAUUGGAAGUUGUGUGUUAAAGCUGGUGGAGCCACAAUAUGGAAGGAGCCUAGGACCCAGAGUUUUUCUUUCACUGAGGCUAUGGAUCCCCCCAUCCUCACCUUGACACUGGAAUUCUGCCUAAAAUGAAACAGCAACAGAACAGAGGUCAAGAACUUGGAAGGAUUCAUAUGGAAGAAACCAGCAAACGCAGCAGCUCUGGAUGAGAAGGAAGUUUCUAUGAUGAGGAGCACCUGUAAGCCAGAGUCUGGGGAACAGAACUUCCCAUCAAUCUGCUUUGGGCAUCUGGAGCAGCCCAGAUAUUAACCUUUGUUCUUUCCAGCCUCUGUGAUUGCUUCAUUGUUUGCUUCCGUAACAUAACCUCGCCUAUCCUGAUUGACACACUUGCCUUGAAGGUACCGGACCAACAUGAAAUACUGAACCUCACAAACAUGGACUGCCAUCCUGCUACAUCAGCAAUGAAAGCCAAGUUAGCUGUUCUCAGGACCUUCUGCUGAAUAUAUUUUGGAGUCCCUUCCACUAUAAUGGAGGACCUGUCUGACUGAAUGGCUUUAAGACAGAGUAUGGUGAUUCAACCCGAAGCACGAGCUUUUCUACCUAAACUCAGAACCCAGAAUCAGACCAAAAGAGGAAGAGAAGCAUCUCUUUCCCUGCGAGGAGGAAGAAGUUUCAGUACGUGUUGGCUAAGAUGACCCUUGGAUCGUGUGCUCUGUGGAGUUCACAUCAAGUAUUUAUCAGGUGGGCUCUGGCAGCAUGUUCGCACCAGGAAUAAAUAAAAUAAUACUUAAUUCUCUCUCUGUUAGCAUCCAGAAUUUGGAUCUAAUUUGAAGAAAAGGAAUGAUUUUCUCAACUGUGACAAUGCUUUAAACAACUUCUUGAACUCAUUUAGCUGCCACUGCCACUGAUCUUAUUGUUUUGUUUUUUACAUCAUCAGAUUUUGAUCAAAGGGUUCACAAAAAUUAGAAAUACAGAGAGCAGAGCAUGCUGUGCGUCAGCUGCUGCAGAGAACAGAUGAAACAAACCCAGGGUUUAUCGCAGGCCUGGGACUAACCGAGCCAGCAGCUUCAAAUAGAGCACACUCGCAAAUAAUUUCAAAUCGUUUUUUAUGAGGUUUUACAAAAAUAAAGCUGGGUACACACUAGAUUAACAAGCACUCUCUGAGAUCCAGCAACCAAAAGAAGACCCUGUUAUCUUUGCCAGAUCAAAUGCUGUUUCUUCACAUUAGAUGUAGAAUAAAUAUAAGCGACAAAAUAAGGAAUGAACUUUUUCAUGAGUUCUGAAAUGAUUCUGUGUCAUUUUCUACUAUGAUAAUCAAGGAGUGUUGUCCUCUCAUUUGUAGAGGUUUUACAAACAUCUUUUGUACAACUAAUGCCUGUUCUUUUUUUCUUUUGAAAACAGACAAUACAGAGAAGAAACUAGAAACCAUCAAUAACCUUUGUCUCUAAGAAUGUACUGCUAAUUUUGAGAUAUUUUAUUCUGGUAUUUUUGCUGUGCGUUACCAUAUAUAGUUAAUGAUAAACUCAUGUAUGUACUAUCUGAUAUAUAAAAAGCAUGUAAGCCAUGAGGUGUAAUAAUAAAAUGGCACCCCUGAACCUAAACUCAAACCAGGGACCAGAGAGUCAUCGCUAACUUGGCACUUUCCCCUGCGUUCCUCCCCUACUAUCUGCCUGCUUUGCUCCCUGAUCCCAAACCUGAGGGUAACCUCGAGCCAGGGGUUCUCAUUUAGGAUUUUAUCUCUCAAGACAUUCCACAAUAUUUGAACACAUUUUCGGUGGUCACAAGUGGGGUGGGGUUUACAACCAGGGUCUGGUGAGUAGAGAUCAGGGAUGCUGCUAAACAUCCACUAAUGCAUAGGACAGUCACUGACAACCAAGAAUUAUCUGCUUUAAAUGUCCAUAGGGUUAACAUUGAAAAACCCUGUUCUCUCCUGUGUGUUGGAUUUAUCAUGACCGUGCUCAAGACAAUAGUUUUGUCACACAAAUGAUCUAAGUAAUUUGUCAUUUAAUUUUGCUGGUUUGGGGGGCGCCUGGGUGGCUCAGUAGUUAAGUGUCUACCUUCGGCUCAGGUCAUGAUCCCAGGGUCCUGAGAUCCGGCCCCACAUCAGGCUCCCUGCUCAGCAGGGAGUCUGCUUCUCCCUCUCCCACUCCCCCUGCUUGUGUUCCCUCUCUCACUGUGUCUCUCUCUGUCAAAUAAAUAAAUAAAAUCUUUUUAAAAACUUUUUGCUGGUUUAGGGGUUUUAUAAAAUAGUAUUGUGCUGCAUGUAGUAUUCUGUGACUUGCUUUUUUUCUCCUUCAACUGUUUACUUUUAGUUUUCAUUGAUAAUUUUGCCCAUUUAUUUUCAUGGGUAUAUAUUACUUCAUUGUGUGAAGAUGCCACAAUGUAUUUUUUAUUCUAUUGUCAAUGAGUAUUUUGUUUGUUUGUUUAUUGCUAAUAUGAACGAUGCUUCUGAAACAUCUUCACGCAAAUCCACGGAUGCCCAUAUGCAACAGUUCGUGUGAAGUGUAUAUCUAGGAUCCAAAACUCUAGGUUGUAGGGGAUGUAAGCUUUAAAUGUAAAGGGUAAUGCAAAUUUCAAUGUGACUGUGCUGAUUUAUAUUCUCGUCAACAAGAUACAUGAUUCUGCCUUGAGCUACAUUUCUCCAAUACUCGGUAUGUUUUGCUAAUUUUUGCCAAUCUAGGGAGCAUUGAAAGGUAAAUCAAUGUGGCCUUGUGAUUUACAUCUCCUGAAUUACUGGCAAGAUUGAGCAUCUUUUUAUUUUUUUUUAAGAUUUUUAUUUAUUUAUUUGACAGAGAGAGAGACAGCGAGAGAGGGAAUACAAGCAGG